UACCUUGUUACGACUUAGCCCCAGUCACUGGUUUUACCCUAGGCCGCUCCUUGCGGUCACGGACUUCAGGUACCCCCAGCUUCCAUGGCUUGACGGGCGGUGUGUACAAGGCCCGGGAACGUAUUCACCGCGCCAUGGCUGAUGUGCGAUUACUAGCGAAUCCAACUUCACGAAGUCGGGUUGCAGACUUCGAUCCGAACUGAGACCGGCUUUCGAGAUUUGCAUCACUUCACAGUGUAGCUGCCCUCUGUACUGGCCAUUGUAGCACGUGUGUAGCCCUAGGUAUAAGGGCCGUGCUGAUUUGACGUCAUCCCCACCUUCCUCACUACUUGCGUAGGCAGUUUCCUUAGAGUCCCCACCAUUACGUGCUGGCAACUAAGGAUAGGGGUUGCGCUCGUUAUAGGACUUAACCUGACACCUCACGGCACGAGCUGACGACAACCAUGCAGCACCUUGUUAGCUGUCCCGAAGGAAAGCCCGGUUUCCCGAGCAGUCAACCAACAUUCAAACCUAGGUAAGGUUCCUCGCGUAUCAUCGAAUUAAACCACAUGCUCCUCUGCUUGUGCGGGCCCCCGUCAAUUCCUUUGAGUUUCAACCUUGCGAUCGUACUCCCCAGGUGGGACACUUAAUACUUUCGCUCAGCCGCUGGCAGUGUAUCGCCAACAGCGAGUGUCCAUCGUUUACAGCGUGGACUACCAGGGUAUCUAAUCCUGUUUGAUCCCCACGCUUUCGUGCAUGAGCGUCAGUUGUUGCUUGGUAAGCUGUCUUCACGAUCGGUGUUCUGUGUCAUAUCUAAGCAUUUCACCGCUACAUGACACAUUCCGCCUACCUCAACUACACUCAAGAUUAGCAGUAUCAACGGCAGUUCUACAGUUAAGCUGUAGGCUUUCACCACUGACUUACUAAUCCGCCUGCG
rnacentral:rRNA from 1 species